CCUACGGGGGGCUGCAGUGGGGAAUAUUGGACAAUGGGGGCAACCCUGAUCCAGCCAUGCCGCGUGUGUGAAGAAGGCCCUCGGGUUGUAAAGCACUUUCAGUGAGGAAGAACGCCUGGUGGUUAAUACCCAUCAGGAAAGACAUCACUCACAGAAGAAGCACCGGCUAACUCCGUGCCAGCAGCCGCGGUAAUACGGAGGGUGCGAGCGUUAAUCGGAAUUACUGGGCGUAAAGCGCGCGUAGGUGGCUUGAUAAGCCGGUUGUGAAAGCCCCGGGCUCAACCUGGGAACGGCAUCCGGAACUGUCAAGCUAGAGUGCAGGAGAGGAAGGGAGAAUUCCCGGUGUAGCGGUGAAAUGCGUAGAGAUCGGGAGGAAUACCAGUGGCGAAGGCGGCCUUCUGGACUGACACUGACACUGAGGUGCGAAAGCGUGGGUAGCAAACAGGAUUAGAUACCCUAGUAGUC
rnacentral:rRNA from 1 species